UGGUAGAACUAAGAAUCGUGGAUAGAUCUGGUUCGUUAUAUGAACUAAAGUAUCGAAUAUGUAAUAACUUACUAUCCUGUAAAAGUUGUAGCAAAAAAGCUGCUAGGAGGUCCCUGCUUGUGCUCCCAGCCAAAAAGCACCUUAUUGCUAGCAAUAAAACUUAAAAAACAAAACCAAAAUACUUAGAAAUCUGACUCCUGCUGCUCAUUACUGGUGCCCAUGAGUGAACAAAAGAGAACAGAUAAUUUUUAACAGUUUAGCAAUCCAAGUGGGACGCAGCAAGCCUCCAAUCUGGUGAGUGCUGGAACUGCAUUCGACGCAGCCGGCACAGGGUGAGUUCACUGGGAAGUAGUUGUGGUGGCAAUGCUCACCAGGGAGGUACUAAAACCGUAUCAGCAUGAAUCAUGGAGGGUUCAGUAGGAAGCUAAAAUGGGUUUACUGCCAGCAGAAAUACUGGAAAACUAAAAGAAAAUCAAAGGUACCUCAGGUCUCGGUAAGGGUAGAGCAAAUGGUCACUACAGACUUGAGAAGGCCCUCAAGUGUGAGCACUGGCCACUGGAUGGUUCAUUUGGAGGAUCGGAAACCUCAGCAAAUGAACUACUGGUAUAUUUGGGAUAACCGGGUGUUUAAGCAUCCAGGGGAUUCAUAGAUUCAGCUAACAUAAGAUGUAUGUCUGCACUACAAAUGCUGGAAGACUCAAGUAACGGCUUUGCUUCUGCUCCCCCUGGCUCCGCUUCAGCACCUGAAUCUGCUUCUGCUCAAACUUCCAGCCUAUACCUGUCACUUCCUACAGGAAGUUAAUCUGUCACUUUGCAAGCUGCUAUGAUUGGCACUGUGAUGCCUUACCAGUUUUAGCAACAGGAACUGAAGAGCAAAUGGGCAUUAACUUGAAAAAGAUGCUGUCAUUAGCAGAAGUCUGAGGAAAACCUGAGCACCUGUGAGACAAGCAUCCAAGCGAAUCUGGGAGCUGUAUCGAAAAGAGCUGGAACCAAUGACAGCAAAUGCUGACAGAGAGGAAAGCUAGACAAGCAGCCUUUUUGUGAUUAAUACUGAAGGGACGGGAUUGAAAAAAGGAAGCAAAAAUGCAGCGGACGCUUGGUAUCCCCAGCAACUGCUACAGCAGGAGGUGUUCUGCCAUGGAUGAAUUGCCAUGGCUGAAGCUGAAGAGGCCAAAAAAAUGUAAGCAAGCUGAAGUGAUUAAAUCAAAUGGAACCAACUGAGAGCUGUCUCCAUCUCCCACAAAGGAAAGCCCAUUCUUCCUGUUGAGGAAGGAUCGCUGUUAAUAGCAAUUGGAAUAAUAGAUCACCAACAUAUAAUGGAAAGUCUGCACGUGUUACAACAAGUAUGCUACCUACAUGUGUUUCUGUGCAUGUGACUUUACACAUCUGUGAAACAUCCUAUUUUAAAAGCUACAGGACAGCAGAUUAUUAUCUCAGGGGAACGAUGGUUAAGUGGCCAGAAUUACUGAAGAAGCAGAGACAGAGAGAGAGAGAGAAAUUGUAUGAACUGUAAAAUCAAGAGAUCAUUUUCAGAGGGCUCAGUAAGUGCAACUCCUAGUUAGUUAACUGGCAGUGGUAUUUGGGGAAACAGCAAGACAGUAGAUAGAGGGAGGAAACAUUAAAGCCUCGUGGAAUUAAUUAACAUCUGCCCUUAAAUUCCUGGGACAAGACAAGCCUUUUUCAUAGAAUCAUAGAAUCAGUAAGGUUGGAAGGGACCUCUGGAGAUAAUCUAGUCCAACCUCCCUGCUCAGCAGGGUCACCUAGAGCAUGUUAGACAGGGUUGCAUCCAGGCAGGCCUUGAAUAUCUCAACUGUCUCCAGAGAAGGAGACUCCACAAACUCUCUGGGCAACCUGUUCCAGUGCUCUGUCACUCUCACAGUGAAGAAUUCCCCCUCACGGUCAGGCGGAACUCCCUGUGGUUCAAUUUCUGCCCAUUGCCUCUUGUCCUGUCACAUGGGACAACUGAAAAGAGUUUGUCCCCGUCCCCUUGACACCCUCCCUUCAGGUACUUGUACACAUUGAUAAGAUCCCCCCUCAGUCUUCUCUCCCCCAGGCUAAACUGGCCCAACUCUCGCAGCCAUUCCGCAUAGGGCUCCAGCCCUCUGAUCAUCUUUGUAGCCCUACGCUGGAUUCUCUCCAGUAGCUCCAUGUCUCUCUUGUACUGGGGAGCCCAGAACUGGAUGCAGUACUUGAGAUGAGGCCUCACCAGGGCUGAAUAGAGGGGCACAAUCACCUCUCUCGACCUGCUGGCAACACUCUUCCUAAUGCACCCCAGGAUACCGUUGGCCUUCUUGGCCACAAGGGCACGUUGCUGGCUCAUGGUCAGCUUGUCAUCCACCAGCACUCCCAGGUCCUUCUCUGCAGAGCUGCUCUCCAGCAGGUCAGCCCCCAGCUUGUACUAGUGCCUAGGGUUAUUUUUCCCUAGGUGUGGGACUCUGCGCUUGCCCUUGUUGAACCUCAGGAGGUUCCUCUCCGCCCAGCUCUCCAGCCUGUCCAGGUCUCUCUGAACAGCAGCACAGCCCUCAGGUGCAUCAGCCACUCCUCCCAGCUUGGUAUCAUCAGCAAACUUGCUGAGGAGGCACUCCGUCCCCUCAUCCAGGUCAUUGAUGAAGAAACUGAACAGGUUGGGACCCAGUACUGAGCCCCGGGAGACUCCACUAGCCACAGGCGUCCAACUAGAUUCCGUGCCACUGAUGACGACCCUCUGAGCUCUGCCUUUCAGCCAGUUCUCAAUCCACCUCACUGUCCGCUUGUCUAACCCACGCUUCCUGAGCUUGUCUAGGAGGAUGUUAUGGGAGACAGCAUCAAAAGCCUUGCUGAAGUAAAGGUACACAACAUCCACUGCUCUCCCCUCAUCUACCCAACCAGUCACUCCAUGAUAGAAGGCUAUCAGGUUGGUUAAGCAGGAUUUCCCUUCGGUGAAUCCACGCUGGCUACUCCUGAUCACCUUCUUUUCCUCCAUAUGUCUGGAGAGGACACCCAGAAUGAGCUGUUCCAUCACCUUUCCAGGGAUGGAGGUGAGGCUGACUGCCCUAUGACUGCCUGGGUCCUCCUUUUUGCCCUUCUUGAAGACUGGAGUGACAUGGCUUUCUUCCAGUCCUCAGGCACCUCUCCAGUUCUCCAGGACCUUUCAAAGAUGAUGGAGAGAGGCCUGGCAACAACAUCCAUCAGCUCCCUCAGUACCCGUGGGUGCAUCCCAUCUGGGCCCAUGGAUUUGUGGAUGUCUAGCCUGCCCAGAAGGUCUCUAAUCCUUUCCUCCUCAACCAAAGGAAAGUCUUCCCUUCUCUGGACUUUCUCUGUCACGUCCAGGCUGCAGGAUUCAUGAGGGCUGCCCUUAGCAGUGAAGACUGAAGGAAAGAAGGCAUUCAGUAAUUCUGCCUUCUCUGUAUCCCUUAUCACCAGGGCCCCCGCCCCAUUCAGUAGCAGGCCCACAUUUUCCCUAGUCCUCCUCCUGCUGCUGAUGUAUUUGAAGAAGCCCUUCCUAUUGUCCUUGACAUCCCUUGCCAGACUCAAUUCCAACUGGGCCUUAGCCUCUGCAGAGCUUUGAUUAUUUCAUUUUUUAUUUUUUUUUUGCUUUGCUUUGCUCUAUAGUUUUGUAGGGUGAUGGGUUUUACUAUGUCUGCACCAACAAGUUGCUGCUGACAAAGUUAUAAUGUCCGAAGGGAGACUCUUAGGCAAGAUGGAGGAGUUCAGAUAGACAGCCUGCUAGAAGAAUGUCACCCAAGAGCUGGGAGCUCUGCAGAGAUCUGCAGCUGGCCAUGGAGGAUGAGCUCUGACCUGCAGUGUGGACACAGCUAAGUCCUGGGGCUGUAUUUUAUGUGAGUAGGGCUGGGAGGUACAAAAAUACAGGCAGGUGAGAUCAGACAUUGUCCUCUCAACUCUCAGAGCUGAAUCCUAUCCCUGAAGGAAAAGCAGAAGGGGUAGGACAUUGGCUACUCAGACACCUGCCAUGUUAAAGGCAGCAGCAGGAGCUGAUCCUUCCCUGAUGGAUGGAUGCUGGCAGAGCAAUGACUUUUCAGAUAUCACUAAGUAAGGGUAAGCAUGCUGGCACCAAGCUUCAUGGCGGACUCACUCCCAGGUGGUGUUUCUGUGCAGUAAAACAAUAAACAGUUGCUUUAUUCUUUGUGCUGA